rnacentral:rRNA from 1 species
CCAGACUCCUACGGGAGGCAGCAGUGGGGAAUAUUGGGCAAUGGGCGCAAGCCUGACCCAGCAACGCCGCGUGAAGGAAGAAGGCUUUCGGGUUGUAAACUUCUUUUCUGGGGGACGAAGAAAGUGACGGUACCCCAGGAAUAAGCCACGGCUAACUACGUGCCAGCAGCCGCGGUAAUACGUAGGUGGCAAGCGUUAUCCGGAUUUACUGGGCGUAAAGGGAGCGUAGGCGGCCUGCCAAGUCUGAUGUGAAAUACCGGGGCUCAACCCCGGGGCUGCAUUGGAAACUGGCAGGCUGGAGUGCCGGAGAGGCAGGCGGAAUUCCUAGUGUAGCGGUGAAAUGCGUAGAUAUUAGGAGGAACACCAGUGGCGAAGGCGGCCUGCUGGACGGUGACUGACGCUGAGGCUCGAAAGCGUGGGGAGCAAACAGGAUUAGAUACCCCUGUA